GUUGGUGCCUUUGGCGAUGGGGUUCACCUCUUCCCAUUCCGAACAGAGCAGUUAAGCCCGUCAGCGCUGAUGGUACUGGGUCAGAUGUCCCGGGAGAGUAGGUCGGUGCCAACU
rnacentral:rRNA from 1 species